AUUGAACGCUGGCGGCAUGCCUUACACAUGCAAGUCGAACGGUAACGCGGGGCAACCUGGCGACGAGUGGCGAACGGGUGAGUAAAGCAUCGGAACGUGCCCAGUAGUGGGGGAUAGCCCGGCGAAAGCCGGAUUAAUACCGCAUACGACCUACGGGUGAAAGGGGGGGAUCGCAAGACCUCUCGCUAUUGGAGCGGCCGAUGUCGGAUUAGGUAGUUGGUGGGGUAAAGGCCUACCAAGCCGACGAUCUGUCGCUGGUCUGGGAGGACGACCGGCCACACUGGGACUGAGACACGGCCCAGACUCCUACGGGUGGCAGCAGUGGGGAAUCUUGGACAAUGGGCGCAAGCCUGAUCCAGCCAUGCCGCGUGCGGGAAGAAGGCCUUCGGGUUGUAAACCGCUUUUGUCAGGGAAGAAAUCUUCUGGGUUAAUACCUCGGGAGGAUGACGGUACCUGAAGAAUAAGCACCGGCUAACUACGUGCCAGCCGCCGCAGUAAGAC
rnacentral:rRNA from 1 species